AUUGAACGCUGGCGGCAGGCCUAACACAUGCAAGUCGAGCGGAUGACGGGAGCUUGCUCCUUGAUUCAGCGGCGGACGGGUGAGUAUGCCUAGGAAUCUGCCUGGUAGUGGGGGACAACGUUUCGAAAGGAACGCUAAUACCGCAUACGUCCUACGGGAGAAAGCAGGGGACCUUCGGGCCUUGCGCUAUCAGAUGAGCCUAGGUCGGAUUAGCUAGUUGGUGGGGUAAUGGCUCACCAAGGCGACGAUCCGUAACUGGUCUGAGAGGAUGAUCAGGCACACUGGGACUGAGACACGGUCCAGACUCCUACGGGAGGCAGCAGUGGGGAAUAUUGGACAAUGGGCGAAAGCCUGAUCCAGCCAUGCCGCGUGUGUGAAGAAGGUCUUCGGAUUGUAAAGCACUUUAAGUUGGGAGGAAGGGCAGUAAGCUAAUACCUUGCUGUUUUGACGUUACCGACAGAAUAAGCACCGGCUAACUCUGUGCCAGCCGCCGCCGUAA
rnacentral:rRNA from 1 species